AAAGCAUGGGAAAAAGAGACUCUUUUAGGAUCAGAUCUGUGAGCACGUUGGCGAGGAAAAACAAAACAAACAAAAAAAAGAACCUUGUGUCUGUCUGGUGAAAAAAAGAAAAACAAAUUGGAAGAGAGGACCAUGAGAAUUUUAAUAAAACAGAAGGAAACUAAUGGACCUUCCAGGAUUUAUUGUGGACGGAUGUGGAUAUAUUCUGUACAGGAACAACACAUAUGGAAGUGGACUGAAGCCUAUGUAGAAACACACACACACUGAACAUUGUUAUUCAUUUUGUAAAAUACUAGUCUUUAUUUUCAUUUUUUGUAAAAUUUAAACAUCGUAUGCGCAUAAAGAAAAAGGAAACAAGAAUUAGGGGAAAAUAACAUUUUCCAAAUAAUUAUAAAAAAUUGUCCUGUGUCUAUGUAUCUAUAUCUGUUUUGUAUUUUUUUCUGGUUCCAAACCAGAUUUCCUGUGAUUCUAUACUAAUAAUUUUUGAUAUAACCCUUUGCUUCUUAUAAUGAGUGCGAUAUAUGUUGUCGAGGCUGUUCUUCAAGAAUUAAAAUUGAAGUGAAAAUUUAAACAAAAAUAAAAGAAUUUAGCAAAA
rnacentral:lncRNA from 1 species